CGGACGGGUGAGUAAUGUCUGGGAAACUGCCUGAUGGAGGGGGGUAACUACUGGAAACGGUAGCUAAUACCGCAUAACGUCGCAAGACCAAAGAGGGGGACCUUAGGGCCUCUUGCCAUCGGAUGUGCCCAGAUGGGAUUAGCUAGUAGGUGGGGUAACGGCUCACCUAGGCGACGAUCCCUAGCUGGUCUGAGAGGAUGCCAGCCACACUGGAACUGAGACACGGUCCAG
rnacentral:rRNA from 1 species